rnacentral:lncRNA from 1 species
UGUCCCCUAUGCUUAGGAGAAGUGGGGCUUCAACCUUAUUUUAAGAUGAGAUUAAGCUAGGCAUUGAUUGAUACCCUACUUAAGAAUAGGGUAUUCAUCUUCAUCUUCAUUUUAAAAUGAGAUUGAGCUCGGCUUUACCACCCCCAUUUAGGAACAAGAGCCUUCAACCUUAUUUAAGAACAAGGUUCGGCUUGAAGCAAACACCCGUGUUUAAGAUCAGGGGCCUUCACCUGCUGAAAAGC